GCGCCCAAGGCCAGAGGCACCCGAGGUGGGCUGGCCCAGGGUGGAAAGCCUGGGCCGAGCCCCUGGAGCGGGCGGAACGGCGAGCCAGAUUCAGGAAGUUGUGCCUGUGACAUCAGGGGCAGGACAGAGUUGGAGCGAAACCUCAACUAUGCCAGGCGUCGGCCCGUAGGAAGGCAGGGAACACAGAGGGCGCUGCCCUCGGCGGCAGCGGCAGGGCCCGGGGCGCUGUCAGACGGGGCAGCAACCAGGAGAUUCCCUGGGCCUGCAGGAAGCCCUUCCGCGGACCGAAAGACUGGGCGGUGAUCAGGAUCUGAAUGCACAGGGCGGGUGUUCAGCGAUUGUUUACUACGUUGAACGUGACCUCCAGGAAAGCAGUUCUGGCCGAGAUCCCCUGACAACGCAAAGCAAGAAGUAACGUGGAAGGAGGCUCCCCAAGCUGGCUGGCCAUUUUGCUGCUGUGUGUGGAGGUGCUGCCAGUGGCAUGCCCAAACCCAAAGCUGGAAGAGGAAUAAAUUACAAGUGGUCAAGGUUGCAUCCUUUUGAGCCCAGGACCUGCUUGUAAGCCGAGAGGGUUCUCUGGCCCUAAUCUAGCCAAGCACCAUGGAGAGAAUCAGUGCCUUCUUCAGCUCUAUCUGGGACACCAUCUUGACCAAACACCAAGAAGGCAUCUACAACACCAUCUGCCUGGGAGUCCUCCUGGGCCUGCCACUCUUGGUGAUCAUCACACUCCUCUUCAUCUGUUGCCAUUGCUGCUGGAGCCCACCAGGCAAGAGGGGCCAGCAGCCAGAGAAG
rnacentral:lncRNA from 1 species